ACGGAAGGCAGCAGUGGGGCAUAUUGCACAAUGGGGGAAACCCUGAUGCAGCGACGCCGCGUGAACGAUGAAGUAUUUCGGUAUGUAAAGUUCUAUCAGCAGGGAAGAUAAUGACGGUACCUGACUAAGAAGCACCGGCUAAAUACGUGCCAGCAGCCGCGGUAAUACGUAUGGUGCAAGCGUUAUCCGGAUUUACUGGGUGUAAAGGGUGCGUAGGUGGCAUGGCAAGUCUGAAGUGAAAUGCGGGGGCUCAACCCCUGAACUGCUUUGGAAACUGUCAAGCUAGAGUGCAGGAGAGGAAAGCGGAAUUCCUAGUGUAGCGGUGAAAUGCGUAGAUAUUAGGAGGAACACCAGUGGCGAAGGCGGCUUACUGGACGGUAACUGACGUUGAGGCUCGAAAGCGUGGGGAGCAAACAGGAUUAGAUACCCUGGUA
rnacentral:rRNA from 1 species